rnacentral:lncRNA from 1 species
AUGGAAAAAGCAAGAGAGUCCCAGAAAAACAUCUAUUUCUGCUUUAUUGACUAUGCCAAAGCCUUUGACUCUGUGGAUCAUUAUAAUAAACUGUGGAAAAUUCUGAUAGAGAUGGGAAUACCAGACCACCUGACAUGCCUCUUGAGAAACCUAUAUGCAGGUCAGGAAGCAACAGUUAGAACUGGACAUGGAACAACAGACUGGUUCCAAAUAGGAAAAGGAGUAUGUCAAGGCUGUAUAUUGUCACCCUGCUUAUUUAACUUAUAUAAAGAGUACAUCAUGAGAAAAGCUGGACUGGAAGAAACACAAGCUGGAAUCAAGAUUGCCGGGAGAAAUAUCAAUAACCUCAGCUAUGCAGAUGAUACCACCCUUAUGGCAGAAAGUGAAGAGGAACUAAAAAGCCUCUUGAUGAAAGUGAAAGAGAAGAGCGAAAAAGUUGGCUUAAAGCUCAACAUUCAGAAAACGAAGAUCAUGGCAUCUGGUCCCAUGACUUCAUGGGAAAUAGAUGGGGAAACAGUGGAAACAGUGGCUGACUUUAUUUUUCUGGGCUCCAGAAUCACUGCAGAUGGUGAUUGCAGCCAUGAAAUUAAAAGACGUUUACUCCUUAGAAGGAAAGUUAUGACCAACCUAGAUAGCAUAUUCAAAAGCAGAGACAUUACUUUGUCAACAAAGGUCCAUCUAGUCAAGGCUAUGGUUUUACCAGUGGUCAUGUAUGGAUGUGAGAGUUGGACUGUGAAGAAGGCUGAGCGCCGAAGAAUUGAUGCUUUUGAACUGUGGUGUUGGAGAAGACUCUUGAGAGUCCCUUGGACUGCAAGGAGAUCCAACCAGUCCAUCCUAAAGGAGAUCAGUCCUGGGUGUUCAUUGGAAGGACUGAUGUUGAAGCUGAAACUCCAAUAUUUUGGCCACCUGAUGCAAAGAGCUGACUCAUUGGAAAAGACCCCGAUGCUGGGAAAGAUUGAGGGCAGGAGGAGAAGGAGACGACAGAGGAUGAGAUGGCUGGAUGGCAUCACCGACUCGAUGGACAUGGGUUUGGGUGGACUCCAAGAGUUGGUGAUGGACAGGGAGGCCUGA